rnacentral:rRNA from 1 species
AUUGAACGCUGGCGGCAUGCUUUACACAUGCAAGUCGAGCGGUAACAGGCCUUCGGGUGCUGACGAGUGGCGAACGGGUGAGUAAUGCAUCGGAACGUACCCAGAGGUGGGGGAUAACGCAGCGAAAGCUGUGCUAAUACCGCAUGUGAUCUGAGGAUGAAAGCGGGGGACCGAGCAGCAAUGUUUGGCCUCUCGCCUUUGGAGCGGCCGAUGUCGGAUUAGCUAGUUGGUGGGGUAAAGGCCUACCAAGGCGACGAUCCGUAGCUGGUCUGAGAGGACGACCAGCCACACUGGGACUGAGACACGGCCCAGACUCCUACGGGAGGCAGCAGUGGGGAAUCUUGGACAAUGGGCGCAAGCCUGAUCCAGCAAUGCCGCGUGCGGGAAGAAGGCCUUCGGGUUGUAAACCGCUUUUGGCAGGAACGAAACGGUGUCCGCUAAUACCGGGCGCUAAUGACGGUACCUGCAGAAUAAGCACCGGCUAACUACGUG